AGCCUACGGGGGGCAGCAGUGGGGAAUAUUGCGCAAUGGGGGAAACCCUGACGCAGCAACGCCGCGUGCGGGAUGAAGGCUUUCGGGUUGUAAACCGCUUUCAGCAGGGAAGAUAAUGACGGUACCUGCAGAAUAAGCCACGGCUAACUACGUGCCAGCAGCCGCGGUAAUACGUAGGUGGCAAGCGUUAUCCGGAUUUAUUGGGUGUAAAGGGCGUGUAGGCGGGAAAGCAAGUCAGAUGUGAAAACUCAGGGCUCAACCCUGAGCCUGCAUUUGAAA
rnacentral:rRNA from 1 species